rnacentral:tRNA from 1 species
CGGGUUGUGGUGUAAUUGGGAACACAACAGAUUUUGGUUCUGUUAUUUUAGGUUCGAAUCCUGACAACCUGA